AAUGUUGCUACUUUUUUUCUUCAGUCUGGUUAUUUCCCAUUUUAAAUAAAAAAAUAAAGGUAGAUAAAUAUUAAAAUGAACAGUAGGAACUAUAUAUACUGUAUAUAUUUACUAGGUAGAUAUAGCCUGACUGCAUGUCAUGAGUAAUGCUAUUAUUGUUAUAUUAUUAUACCGCAAUUAUAUUAUUUUCUCUGCAUGUGUGGUUAGAUGUGUUUUGUGUUUAACCUUUCUGUAUACAUACUGGAAUGACCCAAGGAAUUGUAGCCCUACUGCCGUACUUUAAAACUAUGUGAUCAUGUUUUUUCUUCCAAACUCAUUGUUUUAGCACGCACGCUGACUCCCAUCAGUAAUGAUGAUAUAUAUACAUUGAGUCAUUGGUUUGUAGGGGGAAGUGGGUGAAUAUAAUUAUCUCGGUCUAACUUAUACUGUUUAUUAUACCGCUAUUCGCAUCAAUAUCUUUCUCUGCUCCGAUUGCAACGCUGCCUCGUUCAAAAAUCAUAACACCGCCGCGGCCGCCACGUUUACCAGCCGGAGCCUCAAAUCAUGUCCCUUUGUGGUGAUAAAGAGGACACAGCCUGGUGUGAAGCUACAUUUAUUACGGAAGGAUGCCAGCCGGGAUCCGAACACAUCCGAUAUCAUUCAAGAGAAUGUGGCAGCUGAAGGAGGAGAGGCCAAGAAAGAGGCCAAGGGUGAAGACAUUUAGCCACCCCCCCUGAAGUACAUGGCAUCAUUCAACCCUCUUGGUGAGCUGCAGGAAUGUGCUUCCCAUUGCAGUGCACCAGCUCCAUGUACUGAUUUUGGUGUGAACUUGAUGGGGUUGGAGGAAACUCGACUCGGCCAUCAAGCUCACCACAACAUAACAUGAAAAGUGAAAAUUGCUCCACACAACAGUCUGUCGUCUGCACCGGGAGGCAAGGCAGCUCAAAGCCCAGGCUGUUACAAAUCCUGGGCAGUUUUUGCCCAGAGCCAGCAAUAUUUUAUAUCCAAUAGGGAUGGAUUUUUUCUGAGGUCAGGUUCAACAUGCUGCAAGAUGCCAAGAUCUAAGCCUAGUAGGAGAUAUGGGUUACAAGAGAGGAGGUUUGCUCUGGCCUUAUACUAUCAAAGUCCAAAUGCUAAUAGAUUUCUGAGCACAGUAUUUCACUUGUCUUCAGUUUCAACACUUCACUCAUGACUCAGGGGUAUUUCAGUACAUGUUGGCUAGAGCAAACAGACUCUGACAGCCCUGCAGCAAAGAGCACAGGCUUUGUCAAAAGAAGAGAAACUUCGUGGGAUUUGCCAUUAUUUAGUAUUACUCUUGUUACGCCAAGAAUUUUUUUCCAUAUACUUUGCCAAAUAUUGCAAGUAAUGCACCAUUGUUGGGCUUGCUUGUUAUAAAUCAGAUCUUGUUCAAUUAACAAGCUUUGGGUGUCUGCCACUUUCCAGUUGUAAUGCAAGGAAUCAUUUAUCUUCCCUGCUAGAUAUCACACGUAAUGCACCAUUGUUGGUUUUGCCUGUUAUAAAUCA